rnacentral:rRNA from 1 species
CCCUUAGAUGUUCUGGGCCGCACGCGCGCUACACUGAUGCAUUCAACGAGUCUAAAACCUGGUCUGAUAGGGCUGGGUAAUCUUUUGAAAGUGCAUCGUGAUUGGGAUAGAUGAUUGCAAUUCUUCAUCUUCAACGAGGAAUGCCUAGUAAACGCAAGUCAUCAGCUUGCAUUGAUUACGUCCCUGCCCUUUGUACACACCGCCCGUCGCUCCUACCGAUUGAACGAUCCGAUGAAAACUGUGGAUUGAGAGUCUGAGUGGGUUCGCCUACCUCAACUUUCGAGAAGCGGUUUAAAUCUUAUCGUUUAGAGGAAGGAGAAGUCGUAACA